UUUAUUUGUGGUUUGGGAGGAUUUGAUGAGAACCCUCGGGUUCGAGCCGAGUACUGCGAAGCCGUACGAGACAACGUCGUCGCGCAGCGACGGCGGCCCCGAAGGGGUGAGGGCUGCAAGCCCGAGUCAUCCCUCCCUCUCCGCCA
rnacentral:sRNA from 1 species